rnacentral:sRNA from 1 species
AGCGGUAUACUUUUGUAGUACCUAUAUUCAGGAAAUUGUGUAACUUGUGGCAAUGCGAACAAUUAAACUUGAAAUUUAAUGCGAAUUACUUUUGGUGCCAAAAUAGGCCAAGUUUAUCUUGGCUUGAAGAACUUUCGGCAAAUGGCAAAAGCGCAUCAAGCCUGUCAAGGCGGAAAUGAGCGAUAAAUAUAUCUUCAUUCGCUUCUUAUUUUGAACGCAAGUCGGCAGCGAUUUCCCCAGCGUACAAUUGGCACAUUUUUUGUAUUUCGUUGACGUCUGCCAAUAAAAGUAACAAAAUAAAAUAUGGCACUGCCAGUGCCAAGAGUGCGUUCUUGUGUGUCUGUGGCUUGGGGAUCGGAAGUGCUACCUUGAAAACGAUACGCUGGGGAAUCAUUAGGCGAGCCGUCAUGGGCUACCAUAAAUAUUGCCAAUUUAACGAAAGCACAUCGAUAAUAAGGUUAGGAUGCCUUACACCAUAUACCCAGGAAUCAACUGAAUCUCCGAAGAGAGGACAAACAAGAGCGGAGGGCAGAAAACGCCUCUUCAUAAAUGUGCCAAAUUGGGUUUCCAACAAUAAAAUGCUAAUGAUUGAUUCACAUUGCCCCAUGGAGUGCUGUUAGUUCGAGCCAAGCCCCACAGAACCAAGGAUUCUAUGGUUUUGUCUAAUUUGCGCAUACCCGAACAUUAAAUUGGGGUUUCGUUUGGGUUUCUGGGCUUUUGCAUUUGUAAUUUUGCCUGGUGAAAAAGUCAGGGUUGUGAGUGGUCUACAACUCGAAUAAAAGAUACCUUAAAAUUAAAAA